rnacentral:rRNA from 1 species
UACGUAGGGUGCGAGCGUUAAUCGGAAUUACUGGGCGUAAAGCGUGCGCAGGCGGCUUUGCAAGACAGAUGUGAAAUCCCCGGGCUCAACCUGGGAACUGCAUUUGUGACUGCAAGGCUAGAGUACGGCAGAGGGGGAUGGAAUUCCGCGUGUAGCAGUGAAAUGCGUAGAUAUGCGGAGGAACACCAAUGGCGAAGGCAAUCCCCUGAGCCUGUACUGACGCUCAUGCACGAAAGCGUGGGGAGCAAACAGG